rnacentral:rRNA from 1 species
AUGCGAAGUUUGAUUACUGAGUACUUUCAGCAUCUCUUCUCUGCUGAAGUUAAUGUACCAGCGAUGAAUGUUAUAACUAAAGUUAAGAGGCGUGUUACGGAUUAUAUCAAUGAGUCACUUAUGGCUCCGUACACAUAGGAGGAGGUCAGGAAAGCUUUAUUCAGUAUUGGUGAUUUGAAAGCACCGGGACCGGACGAUUACAUGUUAUCUUUUAUAAAAAGUUUUGGCACCUGCUCGGAGGAUCUAACGAAGGAGGUUCUUGUGGCUGUCAAUACAGGUACGAUCCCAGAAGGUUGGAACUCUACUACUAUCGUGUUGAUUCCCAAAGUGGACAACCCAGAGAAGAUCACCCAAUUUAGGCCUAUCAAUUCAUGUAAUGUGGUUUAUAAGGUGAUCUAAAAAAUGCUCGCAGCACGCCUGAUGGUUUUUCUUCUAGAUAUAAUCAGUGAGACACAAAGUGCAUUUGUGCCAGGGCGCAUCAUUACUGAUAACAUCAUAGUGGCAUAUGAGUGUUUACAUACGAUGAAGAAGAGAAAGAAGGGGAAGUUUGGAACAUGUGCAAUCAAGUUAGAUAUGCACAAGGCAUAUGACAGAGUUGAGUGGGUAUUCUUGGAGGCCAUGCUCACCAAAUUGGGAUUUCAUGCUCAGUGGAUUCAAAUGGUGAUGACUUGCGUAAGGUCGGUUGAGUAUAAGGUUCGGUUCAACUCAAAUGAAACGUUGCCUUUUUCACCAACAAGAGGUUUGAGACAGGGGGAUCCCCUCUCCCCAUAUCUGUUUCUCUUAUGUGCUGAAGGACUGUCGGCCCUUAUUGCUCAUGAGGAGGAGGCUGGUAACUUGAAUGGUGCGCACGUGUGUAGAGAUUUGCCAACGAUUUCUCAUUUACUUUUUGCUGAUGAUUCUCUUAUUCUCAUGAGAGCAGAUGCCCACAACGCAAACACCCUGCGUGGGAUUUUAGAUGAGUACUGUGCAGCCUCAGGUCAAUUGGUGAGUGAAUCAAAAUGCUCUAUAUUUUUCAGUCCUAACACAAAUGUGGAGGUGAAGGCAGAAGUAUGUCAAAUUAUGAAUAUUAUGACAGAGUCUAUUUCAGAUAAAUAUUUGGGUCUUCCAUCCAUGAUAGGGGUGGACCAUGUUGAUUGUUUUAAACACAUAAUAGAAAGAAUUCAAGCAAUGGUGAAUGGAUGGAAAGAGAGAACUCUCUCAUUCGGAGGCAAAGAGGCUUUGCUAAAAGCGAUGGCCCAAGCCAUCCCAACUUAGGCGAUGGGUGUAUUUAAAUUCCCGAAGAAAAUUUGCAAGGGAAUCACUGAUGCAAUGUCGCAAUACUGGUGGGGUGAUGAGGAGGACCAACGAAGGAUGCAUUGGUUUGCAUGGUGGAAGAUGUGUAUUCCGAAGGAGAGAGGAGGUAUGGGAUUCCGGGAUAUUCAUAGCUUUAACUUGGCAAUGUUGGCAAAGCAGUGUUGGAGACUAUUGAGAACUUUUGGUUCAUUAUGUGCACGGGUUCUGAGAGCCAAGUACUACCCUACAGGGGAUAUUCUGAAUUGUCAACUGAAGAAGGGGUCGUCCUAUGUGUGGCAAAGCAUUUGGUCUCGAAUUCAAACGUUCAAGAAGGGUUACAUUUGGAGAGUAGGCAAUGGAGAAAAUAUUAAUAUAUGGGAUGACUGUUGGAUCCCGAACAGUGCCUCCAAAAAAGUUUUAACAGUAAGGGGGGACCAAGUACUUACUAAAGUGAAUGAGUUAAUUGACCCAAUCACGGGAGAAUGGGAUGAGGUGUUAAUCUGGGAGAAUUUCUGGAACAUUGUGUUGGGGAACGUUGCAAAAAAUAAAAAAUUUCCUACGGUUUCACCAAGAUCAAUCUAUGAGUUCAUCUAG